rnacentral:rRNA from 1 species
AGCGCACCCCUAUCCUUAUUUGCCAGCGCAUAAUGGCGGGAACUAUAAGGAGACUGCCGGUCAUAUACCGGAGGAAGGCGGGGACGACGUCAAGUCAUCAUGGCCCUUAUGGGUAGGGCUACACACGUGAUACAAUGGGUGGUACAGAGGGUCGCCAAAGCGCGAGCUGGAGCCAAACCCUUAAAACCAUUCUUAGUCCGGAUUGGAGUCUGCAACUCGACUCCAUGAAGUCGGAAUCGCUAGUAAUCGCGAAUCAGAAUGUCGCGGUGAAUACGUUCUCGGGCCUUGUACACACCGCCCGUCACGUCAUGGAAGUGGGUUGCACCAGAAGUGGCUUGUUUAACCUUCGGGAAAACGGUCACCACGGUGUGAUUCACAACUGGGACGAAGUCGUAACAAGGUAGCCCUAGGGGAACCUGGGGCUGGAUCA